ACACGUCGCCCCGCGAGUGGUGCCCACGAAUAUUGGGCCUAAAGCGCCCGUAGCCGGCCUGGUAAGUCCCCGGUUAAAUCGGCGGGCCUAACCCGUCGGCUGCCGGGGAUACUGCCAGGCCCGGGCCCGGGCGAGGCCGGGGGUAGCCCCGGGGUAGGGGCCAAAUCCUGUAAUCCCGGGGGGACCACCUGUGGCGAAGGCGCCCGGCCAGAACGGGUCCGACGGUGAGGGGCGAAAGCUGGGGGAGCGAACCGGAUUAGAAACCCUUGUAGUCC
rnacentral:rRNA from 1 species